UACGGAGGGGGCUAGCGUUGUUCGGAAUUACUGGGCGUAAAGCGCACGUAGGCGGCUUUGUAAGUUAGAGGUGAAAGCCCGGGGCUCAACCCCGGAAUUGCCUUUAAGACUGCAUCGCUAGAAUUGUGGAGAGGUGAGUGGAAUUCCGAGUGUAGAGGUGAAAUUCGUAGAUAUUCGGAAGAACACCAGUGGCGAAGGCGACUCACUGGACACAUAUUGACGCUGAGGCACGAAAGCGUGGGGAGCAAACGGG
rnacentral:rRNA from 1 species